GGAGCAGUGACGGGGGCUGGCGGAUGUGAGCCGCAAGAGGGUGGCAGCGGGGAAGGAAGCCCAAAGCCGAGUACACGUCACUCUUCUAUGUACAUUUGCAUUUAACGGGAAACUUCUGGAAGCAAGAUGCCUGACUGCAAAGGAUGUGAGCGCCUGUGAGGAGGAUUUCAGACAGAUAUGUCAGUGCACAAAAGAGGCUCAUGAGAAGAAACAGCUGCACCGAUACCAGCAGGAGCUGCUGCAGCUACAGAUUUGAGGCGUGCACCUGCGUGGAGUUGGGUGACUGGAGAUUUGUCAGGGAAGGGAGUAUUGUGGAACAUCAGGCCUCUAAAGUCAGAGGAAUGGAUGGCUCCAGGGGUGGCUCAUUGGAUACCCUGCUGCUCACCUGGAGGUCAUGGGAUCACACCUGACUUGAAUUAGCCAAAGGGAUUCCAGGAUGAGGGUUCAGCCAUGACGUUGUAUCAGGAGAAAGGAAUGAGCAUCUUCUUCCCUCCCUCCCUCUGCUCUCUCUUUUGAACCAAAGGAAGUGUUUAAGAGUUUUCUGGGGACAGGGAGAGCAUGUGCUGGUGAGGCUGGUCCUGGGAUGGGGGUGGAGAAGACCCCUGCACUCCUGCCACCUGUCUGGCUUCCAUUGUCCCCAUGCUAUUGGGGGAAGGUGGGGGCAAAUGGGAGAAAUAGCUCCCCGCUCACAGCCCACACGCAGGCAGAAGAGGUGGGUACGAUGAUGCUGUUAAAGCUGUGAAGUACAGAUUCGCUGCAGAGGAGUUGGUUUGAAUGAUAAGAGGCCACACGCAUCUUUUCUGGGGCCUCUUCCCUGUUGGAAACAAGGGAGCUGUAACUUUCCUUGACUUCAAGUGGCUACUCGCAAGGAAACGACUUAGCUAUUUUCUUCUUCCAAGAUGUGACUUUCUCCAUCAAUUACCUUGCAAAUCUUUAAUCUUAAUGUUUAAAAUAUUACCUUUGGACAUCUCUAGGCCUGCUGCGUUUGAUGGAAAGGGACAAUUACUUCUGGCCUUAAAAUUGACUGAAUCUGAACCUGUAUUUGAAUCUUCUUUUAACACCAACACCUUGUAAUACGUGAGGCACAUUUUUUUUACAGUUGGUGGGAGGAAAGAAAAUUCUAUAUGUAGAAAGUUGGAUGGCGAGGCGGAGAAAUAACUAUAUUUUUCUUUGCAAAACUGCAUUACAGUAUAUUUAGCUAUAUGUUUUGGAUAAAGGAAAAUAGUUUUUCUACAAAAGGUCAAGUGGGAGGAAGGGAAAUGCCACCUCCUGGAGUUAACCACUGUUGAUAUUCUCAGACUUUUGCCCUAUGCAACUAUCUGUAUAUUUUUCAAAAAUCGUCUCAUAUUACUCUUACUAUUGUUUCAUAAGCUGCUCUUUUCACUUACCAAUAUUCUGUGAAUAUGUUUCCAUGACAAUAUAUAAAAAUCUACACCAUAUUUUUUAAUGGCUGCUUAGAAUCUAGUUGUACAGGUGCAGAUUAAUUUAUUUAACACGUCCUCUGUUGACAUACAUUAAAGUUAUUUUUUAUUUUUCACUGUUAUGUUAACUCUAUAUGAUAUGCAUCAUUGAUAAGCAUCAUUUCGACAUCUUCUAAAAAUUUGUCCAAUUAAUGUUCAUAGAAUGCAUCUUAGAAUUCCCGAGUCAAAGGUAUCCACCCGGAAUAUAUGAAUAUAUAUGCCUGUAACAAAAAUGUAAACAAAAUGCUCCUCCAAUCCCAGCCUCUCUCUUCUCCAUAGAUAAUGUGGUAUAUUUACAUGGGUUUCGUUAGUUAACCUGUGGUUUUACUAAAGAUCAGUGAGACACAAGAAAGAUAUAAAACAUUAAACAGCAAAAAACAACUUCUAUCAGGCAUUUUUCUUCUGAUUUCUUUUCUCCUAUUUCCCCACUCCUUCCCCCUGUACCAUUUAGCUUGAGUCUCUUUUACCUCCUGUAUUAUGCAUAGAAUGUUCACUCUUCCAUUUGGAACCAAGUUGCCAACAUUUCAUUCACUCAUUUGAAAAUACUUAAGUGCUACCAGGUCAUGUCCUGUUCUAUGCUUAGGUGUUCAGGGGAACCAAAGAGACCUGGUCCUCCUGCAGCUUA